AGCAGCCGCGGUAAUUCCAGCUCCAAUAGCGUAUAUUAAAGUUGUUGCAGUUAAAAAGCUCGUAGUUGAAUUUCGGGAUCAAUACGUCGGUCGUGCUUUCGGGUACGUACUGGCGUCAUUGGUUUCUCCUUUCUGACGAACCAUGAUGUCAUUAAUUUGGUGUUAUGGGGAGUUAGGACUGUUACUUUGAAAAAAUUAGAGUGUUUAAAGCAGGCUCACGCUUGAAUACAUUAGCAUGGAAUAAUGAAAUAGGACGUUUGAUUCUAUUUUGUUGGUUUCUAGGAUCGACGUAAUGAUUAAUAGGGAUAGUUGGGGGCAUUAGUAUUCAAUUGUCAGAGGUGAAAUUCUUGGAUUUAUUGAAGACUAACUACUGCGAAAGCAUUUGCCAAGGAUGUUUUCAUUAAUCAAGAACGAAAGUUAGGGGAUCGAAGACGAUCAGAUACCGUCGUAGUCUUAACCAUAAACUAUGCCGACUAGGGAUCGGAUGAUGUUAAUUUUUAAUGACUCAUUCGGCGCCUUA
rnacentral:rRNA from 1 species